rnacentral:rRNA from 1 species
CAGCCGCCACGGUAAUACGAGGGGGGCAAGCGUUGUUCGGAUUUAUUGGGCGUAAAGGGUGCGUAGGCGGUUUGGCAAGUCUUGUGUGAAAUCUUCGGGCUCAACCCGAAGCCUGCACGAGAAACUACCGGGCUUGAGUAUUGGAGAGGUGAGUGGAAUUUCCGGUGUAGCGGUGAAAUGCGUAGAUAUCGGAAGGAACACCUGUGGCGAAAGCGGCUCACUGGACAAUAACUGACGCUGAUGCACGAAAGCUAGGGGAGCAAACAGGAUUAGAUACCCCCGUAGUCCCUGUCUCUUAUAC